rnacentral:tRNA from 1 species
UCCCUGGUGGUCCAGUGGUUAAGGCUCUGUGCUUUCACUGAAAAGGGUAUAGGUUCAAAUCCUGGCCAGGGAA